rnacentral:rRNA from 1 species
GUGGGGAAUAUUGGACAAUGGGGGGAACCCUGAUCCAGCCAUGCCGCGUGUGUGAAGAAGGCCUUUUGGUUGUAAAGCACUUUAAGCGAGGAGGAGGCUACCGAGAUUAAUACUCUUGGAUAGUGGACGUUACUCGCAGAAUAAGCACCGGCUAACUCUGUGCCAGCAGCCGCGGUAAUACAGAGGGUGCAAGCGUUAAUCGGAUUUACUGGGCGUAAAGCGCGCGUAGGUGGCCAAUUAAGUCAAAUGUGAAAUCCCCGAGCUUAACUUGGGAAUUGCAUUCGAUACUGGUUGGCUAGAGUAUGGGAGAGGAUGGUAGAAUUCCAGGUGUAGCGGUGAAAUGCGUAGAGAUCUGGAGGAAUACCGAUGGCGAAGGCAGCCAUCUGGCCUAAUACUGACACUGAGGUGCGAAAGCAUGGGGAGCAAACAGGAUUAGAAACCCGUGUAGUCC